rfam:Ictidomys tridecemlineatus contig000904, whole genome shotgun sequence.
AGGGGUGUAGCUCAGUGGCAGAGCACUUGCCUAGCAUGCAUGAGGCCCUGGGUUCGGUCCUAGCAUUGCAA